AUAUAAUCGAUGUUGUUCUCAUUGAAAUUUCUCUUUUGAUUUCCUGCAAUUUCAGAGACAUUAUGGGCAAAAUUGAAUUUGAAAGAAGUUUUCUAUCACGCUUUGAAAAUUAUUUAAAGGAGAACCUUGACUCGAUUCUCGUUUAGCACAAGCAUGUAUUUCAUAUUUGUAAGGGAAAUGCAGCAACUUUUGCUUGCCAGCUUUGCAAAACAUUUUCUUUAAAAGAAGUUGCCCAUUACUUUUAAUAUUUUAAACUCUAAUUGCCAUGAUUCUUUUAGGUCUUUGUAGGGGCUUAUUCACUAUUUAUUGUUAACUGUAUAAGUUUUGUAACUAAACUUGCAGGCUUUGUCCAUUUACAGGAUGUAAAUAAUAUGCUGUCCUCGCCCAUUAGAUCCAUCCAUGACAAAAGGAAUGUCAAAUAAAUUUCAUGUGGAAGGUGGAACGAAGAAAUUGUUUCAAUGUAAAUAAAAUAUAUCCAAUAUAAUCUUUGUGUUUGGUGAAUCAUUAUCAUCCAAUGCCACACAAGGAAGUUAAAGCUGAAAUUGGUUAAUUGCCUUCAGUGUUACACAGUGAAAAGAUCUUGUGCUGAUGUGUUGUAAUUGUGUUUCAUGUAUGGUAAAGUAAAAGAGAAAUUCAUUGUAAA